rnacentral:lncRNA from 1 species
CAGACUUCUCCCAGCCACGAUCGAUUUGACUUCGAACUUCCUUCGAACUUCAUCGAUGAUCGAGCUUCCUCAGCAACAGGACUUCUGCAGUAGCCAGACUCCAUCCAAAUUUCUACGACGGUCGACCGUCUUUCGGAUUUCACCCGGGCUCCUACGAGGAUCGGAUCCCAGACGAACUUCUACCGCAAGCAGUCUACUCCAAACUUCUACCGCAAGCAGUCUACUCCGAACUUCUACAGUAUCCGAUCUUCAUCCGAACUUCCAUGACAAUCUAUCUUCAUUCGUACCCUUACUGUAAGCGAAUUUUUUUCGAACUUCUAUUGCAGACAGACUUCAGCCGGGCUUCUACAACAAGCGGUCUCCCUCCGAACUUCUAUAAGAACUGGACUCCAUUCGAACUUCUACAACGGAUGAGUUUUAGGAGAACUUCUACAACGGACGGGCUCCAGC